rnacentral:lncRNA from 1 species
CUCCGAUCUGUUUAGUAAGAAGGUGCUGUUCCGAGAAGAAGGAAAAGGGCUUGACACGUAUUCACUCGGCCCCGGACGUGGGAAGCAAGCCGUCUGGCUUCGGCCUCACAUCGGUCUUGUGCUCGGGACGGCGGCGUUGGCGGACUGAUCCGCGGCGGUGAAGAGGCGCCUGUGUCUGGCAGAGCUGGUGUGAGACGAGACAAUCCUGCCCCGCCGCCGGGAUAAUCAAGAGUUUUGGCCGGACCUUUGAGCAUACACCGAGAGAGUGAGGAGCCAGACGACAAGCACACACUAUGGCGCUGAAACGGAUUAAUAAGGAACUUAGUGAUUUGGCCCGUGACCCUCCAGCACAAUGUUCUGCAGGUCCAGUUGGGGAUGAUAUGUUUCAUUGGCAAGCCACAAUUAUGGGACCUAAUGACAGCCCAUAUCAAGGCGGUGUAUUCUUUUUGACAAUUCAUUUUCCUACAGACUACCCCUUCAAACCACCUAAGGCAAGUUGCAUUUACAACAAGAAUUUAUCAUCCAAAUAUUAACAGUAAUGGCAGCAUUUGUCUCGAUAUUCUAAGAUCACAGUGGUCGCCUGCUUUAACAAUUUCUAAAGUUCUUUUAUCCAUUUGUUCACUGCUAUGUGAUCCAAACCCAGAUGACCCCCUAGUGCCAGAGAUUGCACGGAUCUAUAAAACAGACAGAGAUAAGUACAAUAGGUUAGCAAGAGAGUGGACAGAGAAAUACGCUAUGUUGUAGGGUACAACAGAAUAUCUCGGGAAUGGACUCAGAAGUAUGCCAUGUGAUGCUACCUUAAAGUCAGAAUAACCUGCAUUAUAGCUGGAAUAAACUUUAAAUUACUGUUCCUUUUUUGAUUUUCUUAUCCGGCUGCUCCCCUAUCAGACCUCAUCUUUUUUAAUUUUAUUUUUUGUUUACCUCCCUCCAUUCAUUCACAUGCUCAUCUGAGAAGACUUAAGUUCUUCCAGCUUUGGACAAUAACUGCUUUUAGAAACUGUAAAGUAGUUACAAGAGAACAGUUGCCCAAGACUCAGAAUUUUUAAAAAAAAAAAUGGAGCAUGUGUAUUAUGUGGCCAAUGUCUUCACUCUAACUUGGUUAUGAGACUAAAACCAUUCCUCACUGCUCUAACAUGCUGAAGAAAUCAUCUGAGGGGGAGGGAGAUGGAUGCUCAGUUGUCACAUCAAAGGAUACAGCAUUAUUCUAGCAGCAUCCAUUCUUGUUUAAGCCUUCCACUGUUAGAGAUUUGAGGUUACAUGAUAUGCUUUAUGCUCAUAACUGAUGUGGCUGGAGAAUUGGUAUUGAAUUUAUAGCAUCAGCAGAACAGAAAAUGUGAUGUAUUUUAUGCAUGUCAAUAAAGGAAUGACCUGUUCUUGUUCUAC